UCACCCUUCCUUGUUUUUCCCGCCUAUAUACCACCGUCGUCAGCUUACCCUGUGAAGGCCUAAUAGUAAGCAAAAUUGGCACAGCCCAAAACGUCAGGUCGAGGUGUAGCGUAUGGAAGGGGAAGAAAUGGGCUACAUUCCCUAACCCAGUGCAUACGGACGACACACUGAAACACGUAUCUGAAGGAGGAUUUAGCAGUAAGCAGAAAAUAGAGUGUUCUGCUGAAACUGGCCCUGAAGCGCGCACACACCGCCCGUCACUCUCCCCAAGCUUAUAACUACAAAUAAAUAAAACCCUUCAACUGCAAAGGGGAGGCAAGUCGUAACAUGGUAAGUGUACCGGAAGGUGCACUUGGAAAAAU
rnacentral:rRNA from 1 species